UACGAAGGGGGCUAGCGUUGUCCGGAAUUAUUGGGCGUAAAGAGCUCGUAGGCGGUCUGUCGCGUCGGCUGUGAAAACCCGGGGCUCAACCCCGGACUUGCAGUGGGUACGGGCAGACUAGAGUGUGGUAGGGGAGACUGGAAUUCCUGGUGUAGCGGUGAAAUGCGCAGAUAUCAGGAGGAACACCGAUGGCGAAGGCAGGUCUCUGGGCCACUACUGACGCUGAGAAGCGAAAGCAUGGGGGAGCGAACAGG
rnacentral:rRNA from 1 species